AGCGAACGCUGGCGGCAGGCCUAACACAUGCAAGUCGAACGGUUCCUUCGGGAUUAGUGGCGGACGGGUGAGUAACACGUGGGAACGUGCCCUUGGUUCGGAACAACUCAGGGAAACUUGAGCUAAUACCGGAUGUGCCCUUCGGGGGAAAGAUUUAUCGCCAUUGGAGCGGCCCGCGUCUGAUUAGCUAGUUGGUGGGGUAAAGGCCCACCAAGGCGACGAUCAGUAGCUGGUCUGAGAGGAUGAUCAGCCACAUUGGGACUGAGACACGGCCCAAACUCCUACGGGAGGCAGCAGUGGGGAAUCUUGUGCAAUGGGCGAAAGCCUGACGCAGCCAUGCCGCGUGAAUGAUGAAGGUCUUAGGAUUGUAAAAUUCUUUCACCGGGGACGAUAAUGACGGUACCCGGAGAAGAAGCCCCGGCUAACUUCGUGCCAGCCGCCGCCGUAA
rnacentral:rRNA from 1 species